rnacentral:rRNA from 1 species
UUGGAGGGCAAGUCUGGUGCCAGCAGCCGCGGUAAUUCCAGCUCCAAUAGCGUAUAUUAAAGUUGUUGCAGUUAAAAAGCUCGUAGUUGAAUUUUGGGUCUGGCCGGGCGGUCCGCCCUCUGGGUGAGCACUGUUCCGACGCCGGGCCUAUCCUUCUGGUGAGUCGGCAUGUCCUUUAUUGGGUGUGUCGGGGAACCAGGACCAUUACCUUGAAAAAAUUAGAGUGUUCAAAGCAGGCGUAUGCUCGGAUACAUUAGCAUGGAAUAAUGAAAUAGGACGCGUGGUGCUAUUUUGUUGGUUUCUAGAACCGCCGUAAUGAUUAAUAGGGAUAGUUGGGGGCAUUAGUAUUCAAUUGUCAGAGGUGAAAUUCUUGGAUUUAUUGAAGACUAACUUCUGCGAAAGCAUUUGCCAAGGAUGUUUUCAUUAAUCAAGAACGAAAGUUAGGGGAUCGAAGACGAUCAGAUACCGUCGUAGUCUUAACCAUAAACUAUGCCGACUAGGAAUCGGGCGAUGUUAUUCUCAUGACUCGCCCGGCGCCUUAUGGGAAACCAAAGUGUUUGGGUUC